GACGAACGCUUGCGGCGUGCCUAAGAAAUGCAAGUCGAGCGGGGGUAGCAAUACCCUAGCGGCGAACGGUCGCGUAACACGUAAGCAACCUGCCCCGAAGACCGGGACAACAGCUCGAAAGGGCUGCUAAUACCGGAUGUGGCCAUUGGGGGACAUCCCCUGGUGAUUAAAUCAAGCAAUUGGCUUCGGGAGGGGCUUGCGGCCUAUCAGCUAGUUGGCGGGGUAACGGCCUACCAAGACGACGACGGGUAGCUGGUCUGAGAGGACGGCCAGCCGGACUGGGACUGAGAUACGGCCCAGACUCCUACGGGGGGCAGCAAUUAGGAAUCUUGCGCAAUGGGCGAAAGCCUGACGCAGCGACGCCGCGUGGAGGAGGAAGUCCUUCGGGAUGUAAACUCCUUUUGCCAGGGAAGAAACAAAUGACGGUACCUGGUGAAUAAGCCCCGGCUAACUACGUGCCAGCCGCCGCGGUAAAAC
rnacentral:rRNA from 1 species